UACGUAGGGGGCUAGCGUUGUCCGGAAUCAUUGGGCGUAAAGCGCGUGUAGGCGGUCCGGUAAGUCCGCUGUGAAAGUCGAGGGCUCAACCCUCGAAUGCCGGUGGAUACUGUCGGGCUAGAGUACGGAAGAGGCGAGUGGAAUUCCUGGUGUAGCGGUGAAAUGCGCAGAUAUCAGGAGGAACACCGGUGGCGAAGGCGGCUUUCUGGACAGAUACCGACGCUGAGGCACGAAAGCUAGGGGAGCAAACAGG
rnacentral:rRNA from 1 species